GUUUUCCUGGGGCUCAGUUGGUGAAGCAUUGCGUUAAGAACGCAAAGGUCAUGGGUUCAAAUUCCAGCGAAAGCA